AGAGUUCGAAGCGCCUCUCCUCCUCCCUGGCGCCUUCGAUCCGCGGCGGCACCUCUCCUCCUCCCUGGUGCCGCCGCUACCAUACAAGAGGGCCCAUUCAGGCCCUGAUG
rnacentral:ncRNA from 21 species